rnacentral:lncRNA from 1 species
GAACUCUUCCUUGAGUUCAAGGACACCAGAGAAUGAGUAGACAAACAACUGUGUCAGCGAUUCCACCCAAAACAUCAUCUCCAGGUCAAGACAUGUGAGAGAGAAUUUAGAACAGCAUCACAAAGAAGUGCUCAAGGGGCACUGAGAAAUCACCAGGCUGCUCCUGCAAAGGCUGGGCCCUCCCUCCUUGAGUUCCUCAUCCAUCUAAGCCGGCUGGCUGUCUGCUCUGCUGCUGAGCUGGGAGCCGGGACACCUGUGG